ensembl:lncRNA
AGAAAAAGGGAAAGUGUGGUCAUUAAUGAAGUGCUAUGUUUUCAAAGCCAGACGCUUGAACGUAAGUGCUUGGAUGUGAUGGUGCUUGGAUGAUGAUGAAAGACAGUGGUUUCACCCUCCCACCAAACUGACCCUAAAUCCACAUAAGAGUAUGGCUUUUCCUGCAUAUCCAGAGAGAGGAAGACCUGUGCAAACGCAUGAGCUACCCGGAAAGGAUGCUGGGAAGACUUCUCAGUUUUCUCAGUCCUCAUCUGUCCCUGCUGCUCCUCUCAGUCCGUUCAUGCAGAAGGGAAGGGAUGGAGCGAAGGGAGGCUCUGAAGGUGAGAAGCCGCUGAAGGGUGGUAGAGCAGCGAUUCUCUGCAGGUGUGGAAAGAAAGUGGGCGAUUUGGGCGCGUGGUCCAGGCGUGGCCCCUCAGCAUGGGCAGUGGGCAGCUCCGGAGGGGCGUAGCGAAUGGUGCUUGGAGCGUAAAGGCUCUGAGGCCCUGGAGGGCCGAGAGCAAGAGGGUGGAACAGUACACGCCCGGCUGCUCCACCCGCAGCUAGUCUCUGAAGAAGCUCGUAAUCAGGCGUGCGGCCUCCGUGGAGGCGAUCCUCCCUAGGCAGGGGUGAAGCUGAGAUGGGUGAAGGAGGGCUGAAGAGACCUUUAGCUGGAGCUUCUGUAGUGACUGACUCGGAAUCUUGGGAUGGGGGGCUGCUGCCAUUUAUACCCCUGGCGGACUGAGUGUUGCUCCAUCGCCCUCCAGUGGUUGAACAAACUCCAGUGCUCAACAUCUCCUGCUCAGUUUUAACAUUAGAGCUGGAGGUGCUGGUCACCACACUCUUCAGCUGCUGGAUUACAGCACGACCAUUACGCACUUUCCCAGUUUCACUGUUCUUCUUAGAGGCUCCCGCAUCGGUCUUCAGUCUCUUGCCAUUGUGCUCCCACUCCUCUUCCUUGUCCUCCUCUUCGUCUUCUUCAGCUUCACUGUCACUGGCUGAGUCCGAGGAGCCUGACAGGCUGUCCUCUCUAUGCCGGAAGACCUCGAGUUGUUGUCUCCUUGUUUGUGGAGGUGUGUUUUCAGGGCUGGAGUGGUAAGGCCUCUUCCUCCUGUUAUCUGAAUGGUUAGCAGUAAUGUGAGUGCAAGAGUCUCUCCCUUUGCGCUCAGACUCAUUUCGUCCAACUCCGCCCUUCGUCGGCUGGGCACCAUUCGGGCCUGGAAAGCAGACAGAAUUGACAUAAUAUAGAAAAAUGCUGUGUUUAUGUACAACCCCACUUCUAAAAAAGUUGGGACAGUAUUUAAAGUGUUAAGUAAAAACAAA